CUCUUAAAAACUUUUAAGUAAUCUCUGCCCAAUGAAAUUUAAAUGGCCGCAGUAUCUUGACUGUGCAAAGGUAGCAUAAUCAUUUGUUUUUUAAUUGAAAACUGGAAUGAAAGAGUUGACGAAAGGUAGUCUUUUGAUAGAUAAAUAAAAUUGACAUAACGGUUAAAAGGCCUUUAUAUCCCAGAGGGACGAUAAGACCCUAUAAAACUUUACCUUUAUAAUAAAUUUAAAAGACUAAUUUUGUAUUAAAGGUUAAGCUGGGGCGGCAUCUAUAAAAACAAUAAUAUUUAAAAUACCUAUAGUAAAUUUAAAGAGCUUAAAUAAGAAAAUUUGAACAAGUUACUUUAGGGAUAACAGCAUAAUUUUCUCUGAGAGUUCCCAUCGGCGGGGAAGAUUAUGACCUCGAUGUUGAAUUGAAA
rnacentral:rRNA from 1 species